rnacentral:lncRNA from 10 species
AUUGAAUACCGAAGAAAAUCAGAAAAUUCAACUGAAAACCUAUUUAAAGUAAAAAGAAAACUUACUAAGAUGGCUGCAUACAAAAAUCAAGAGUUUUCCUUUUAUAGUAGUAUAACAGGAUGUGAAAAUGAAAGCUUUGACUGAACUCUGAAUUACAGUGUGCUAUGAGUCAGAUCAACAAGCUGAAAUUUCAAAGAAGGUGUUUGUGAACCUGCUAGAUGAAUCAUCUACAUCAAGGAUCUAAAACGGUCAGGUGGCUGGUGAUUCAACAGGAUUUGGUGAAGAGGACUGGUUUGGAAAAUCUGUGUUCUUAAUCCUGUCUUCCAUCCCAGAGAAAGGGAGGGGGGAUGAUUGACCCUUCUUUCUCAAAUCUAGGGAGAAAGUUUCAUGAGGGCUGCUUGCAGAGCUUGAUAUAUGUUUCUUGUAGUCGUGGGGCAUUGUGAAUUGGUUUCUGAUUCAUGCCUGUGAAAUUUGAGACAAAAAGAUCAUGGCUGGAAGUUUCGUGUGACUAGGUGACUAAGUUCCUUCCAAUAAGAAAUAAUGAAUGCAGAUGUCUUGUUCUCCUUUUCUCUCCUUCUUCCUGUUUCUAGUUGGCCCUGGAACAGUGGCCUCCAGGCCUGAGAUAAUCGAAGCAACUGGAGAAGCUUGAAGGAGUCUGGGUCCCUGAUCCUGACAAAGCCGCUAUUCCACCCCUAAACUGGCUACAUCUGGAUUUUUUUUCUUUGGCAUGAGAAAGGAAUAAACGAUCUUACUAAUUUUUAAAAGUUUCCCUCUUGUUGCCCGGGCUGGAGUGCAAUGGCACGAUCUUAGCUCACUGCAACCGCCACCUCCUGGAUUCAAGCGAUUCUCCUGCCUCAGCCUCCUGAGUAGCUGGGAUUACAGGCAUGCGCCACCAUGCCUGGCUAAUUUUGUAUUUUUAGUAGAGACAGGGUUUCUCCAUGUUGAUCAGGCUGCUCUCCAACUCCCGACCUCAGGUGAUCUGCCCGCCUUGGCCUCUCAAAGUGCUGGGAUUACAGGCGUGAGUCAUCGCGCUCAGCCAUUAUGCUUAUAAUUCCUAUUUUGCCUACAGGUCAUAUCUCAUUCAGACAUUUGGCCUUAAAGAUGCAUUGCCUCAAGGGAGUAAGGAUCAAAAAAUAAAUAUCUAUCAUUCUUAGUUUUUAAGUUCCAAAGCUCCAAAUGGAGGUUUCAGGUGUGAAAAUUUCAUUUGACCUCUUCUCCCUGAAAGUGAUCUGAGUCAGAGAAGAGAGUGAAAGGACAAGGGUGUCUGAGAAAAGGCUGGCUAAGUCCCACAUUGAGGAGAGGACACAAGGCAGACAGUAGAAUGCUUCUGAUAAUUUUGUGAUCUUGGGGUCAAUGGAAUUUGUGUUCUGUUUCCUGUCUGUAGCCCUGAGAGUACCCCAGGCCUUUGAGGACUAGACACUAGAAGACGGAUGGUUGAUGCAAAUGUCCAAGACAGAAGUGGGUUUGGCAUACCUACUGGGUUUCCUGGGCCUUCAGAGUUGUAUGGAAGAACUGAAAAAUUUCCUCAUGUUUCCCAGGACAGCUGUGGAAAUGAAGACAGAACGAGCAAGACAGCAAGAGAGAACUGUUGGGCACUGAAAUCUAGAAGUUAUGAAAAGAGGCUACCUCUGGGGACAGUUAUGUAGAUCAAAUUUAGAGAUUAAUCAUGGCUUAGGACCAGAAAGAACUCUAUGUUUCAAUUAUGAAUUAUGACCAAGUAGGCAGAAGCUAUCAGGCAGUGACCAGAUGACCCCCUCAAGUUUUCUGGGUACAAAGAAAGUGUACUUGAAAUGAAAAUUAAGAACUUGUAAAAAUUGUGUAUAUUUAACUUUUGAAUUAAUGGCCUGAAAAAAUUAUACCAUUAUGUGUGAAUAACUAAUAAAGUAGAAGUUUGAAGAUGCAAGCAUGAAAGGCAAAUAACAGAGCACAUUUCAGAGAAAACAGAGAUUAUAAUUUUAUGGAGAGGGAUAUGUAGUCUUGACCAAAAGGGAUACUUCUUUUUCAGAAACAAGAUCAAAAUUAGAUUUUUUAAAUUGAAAGUUUAAAUCAUAUAAACUUUGCCUAUUAAGUAAGGGGGAAAAAAUCCUCAUCUGUUUAUAAUUUUAAAAAAUGGGAUGCUUUUGGGAAGUUUCUUUUUUUCCUAUGGGUUUCACAUUCCUGCAAGUAGCAUCAGGUAGAUGAAUAUUUAGAACCAAUUUCAAGAAGCAAAAAUUAAGUCUUAGAGAACUAUAUUUAAUUUCAAGUACAGUAGUCUUUAGAGUAUUUGGUACAUUAAAGAACGGAAAAUGUUAGUUCCACUUACUACUUAAAUUUUAAUAGAUUUUAUUUUGAUUAUUAUUUUUUGUUUGUUUCUAAGAGUCAGCGUAACCCAAUCAUUUCACUUUUCCUCAGGAUCACCACAAAUAUCACUCUUUUUCUUUUUCAUUUUUUAGAGCUUAAUUGCUUCGUUUUGUCUGUUUUGA